rnacentral:lncRNA from 10 species
AGUGUCCACCUCUUGUUCCACACUUUUAUACUUCCCCAAAGGCGUAAGUGAACCUUAUCUAAAUUCAAGCCAUUUACUGUUAUUUUCCAUCAUUUUACCUUUGUCUUAAUUUGCUAAAUACAGUUAACACUUGAACAACACGGGUUUGAACUGUGCGGAUCGAUCAAUGCAACCUGGUACAUGGGAUUCUAAACACCGUAUUGAGAGGGCCGACUUUUCUUAUACUCACAUUCCACAGGACGGACAGGCAGACUUGAGUAUGCUUGGAUUGGGGUAUAUGUGGUGGGUCCUGGAACCAAUCCCACGUAUAUAGUAUAUGGGGGAUGACUGUAUUGCAUUAACUGAAAGAGCUAUGAUUAGCAAACUAAAAAGCGGUGUGUAAACACUGCUUCUUUAUAAUUUAUGGAAAUGUUAAAUAAGAUCAGUCCCCACUGUUUACACUUAUUACUAACCUUUAUUACUUGACUUUGCUUCUAUUUCCUAGCCACAAUUUAAAAAACAAAAUUAAAAUGGUAUCAACAACAAUAGAA